GACGAACGCUGGCGGCGUGCCUAAUACAUGCAAGUCGAGCGGGCCUCCGGAGGUGCUUGCACCUCCGGAAGGCCAGCGGCGGACGGGUGAGUAACACGUGGGCAACCUGCCUUUGAGGCCGGGAUAACACCGGGAAACCGGUGCUAAUACCGGAUACGUCCUCUUUCGCGCCUGCGAGAGGGGAGAAAGACGGUCUUUAAGGCCGUCGCUCAAAGAGGGGCCCGCGGCGCAUUAGCUGGUUGGUGGGGUAAGGGCCUACCAAGGCGACGAUGCGUUGCCGACCUGAGAGGGUGAUCGGCCACACUGGGACUGAGACACGGCCCAGACUCCUGCGGGAGGCAGCAGUAGGGAAUCAUCCGCAAUGGGCGAAAGCCUGACGGUGCAACGCCGCGUGAGUGAGGAAGGUUUUCGGAUCGUAAAGCUCUGUUGUGAGGGAAGAACAGCUUCCGGAGGAAGUGCCGGAGGUUUGCCGGUACCUCACCAGAAAGCCCCGGCUAACUACGUGCCAGCAGCCGCAGUAA
rnacentral:rRNA from 1 species